CCCGGGCCUUGUACACACCGCCCGUCACACCACGAGAGUUUGUAACACCCGAAGUCGGUGGGUAACCGCAAGGAGCCAGCCGCCUAAGGUGGGACAGAUGAUUGGGGUG
rnacentral:rRNA from 1 species